CUAUCAUGGCUGUUCUCUGAGAGUUUCCAUCCACCAAUUGACUUAGGCAGAUGAAACCGCCAAAGAUUGGAUGGAACUUGAGGAUUCUUAUGGAAGAAUAGGAUGAGGAUUGCACUCCCUAAGGGGAUAGGAACUCCACAGAAUGACCAACAGAGUCAACAAACCUGGACCCUUGGAGCUCUCAAAGACUAAACCACCAGCCAACGAACAUAAAGAGGAUGAACCUAGGACUCCCCUCAUAUUUGUAGCAGAUGCACAGCUUGUUCUCCAUGUGGGUUCCAAACAACUGGAAUGGGGGUUAUCUCAAAAGCAUUUGGCUGUAUUUGGAACAUGUUCUUCUAUCUGGGUUGCCUUGUCUAACCUUAGUGGGAAAGCACUAAGCACCUAGCUUCACGGAGACUUGAAGUUACAAGUCUAUCACACAAUCAAAUCCAAGAGCUGUUCCCACAGAAGGAUACAGAAAGAUACAUUGGGGAAAUUUAAAAAUCAUAUAGUGACCUGCUACACAUGAUGAAAUUCAGCUACAUUCAAGAGAGAACCAGAACUCUGAAGCUGGUCUCUGGCAGACAGGGGCACAACAGAGAGCUUAUCCUGGUGUCCCAGUUGGUUCUGGUCACUCCCACUGACUCAUGUCAACUCAGUGGAGGCCUGGCUGUUGCUGCUGGAUCACAUCACCACUGCUGAUUCAUGUGUGGUAUCCUGACACCACUAAAUUGGACUGCUGGUGUCCCAAGAACAGAGAUUGGAAUCAUCCCAAAUAACUACUUCUAAACAGGUCCACAUCCCCUUGUCCUAUUUAGCAUCUUUUCUUUCCUACCUUGGAUGAUGGGCUGGUGUGGGUG
rnacentral:sRNA from 1 species